UACAGAGGUGGCAAGCGUUGUUCGGAAUUACUGGGCGUAAAGGGCGCGUAGGCGGUUCGAUAAGUCCCGUGUGAAAUCCCUGGGCUCAACCCAGGAACUGCGUCCAAGACUGGGAGGCUUGAAUCCGGGAGAGGGAUGCGGAAUUCCAGGUGUAGCGGUGAAAUGCGUAGAUAUCUGGAGGAACACCGGUGGCGAAGGCGGCAUCCUGGACCGGUAUUGACACUGAGGCGCGAAAGCCAGGGGAGCAAACGGG
rnacentral:rRNA from 1 species